rnacentral:lncRNA from 1 species
CGGCCGCGGAGCCAACUGCAGCAGCAGCGGGCCCAGCCUGCCCCGCAACAGCCAGCGCGGCUCCUGGAGGGAAACGAGCAAGGCGGCCCCGCAGGUGUGGCGCGGCCCUGGGAGGGCGCGUGCGAGCGCUGCUUUGUUUGGUGCCCGCACAGCCCCGGGCUCCAGGCCUGAGCGCCAACCUUCCCGAGCUGAGUCACGGCUGCAGAGCCCGAGGGCGGCCAUACGGCCCCGCCCGGAAGGAUGAGGCCCCUUCCUGAAGCUGGCGAGUCCGAUGCGGUGGCAGGGACAAAAGCCAGGGGAAGGUGGCUUCUAUUCUACAAAGCCCUUUAGGGAAGGGGGGAGUCAGGCCGCCCUCACCCAGUGCAGGUCCGUCACGAUGGUCACCCAGAGCACUCACGCAGAAAGCCAGCUUGCAGCCGCCAGCCCUGAGGAUGCCGCCCCCAAAGGGCUCAUUGCUCUAAUCACCCGUCCAGGGGCUUGAGGCAAAGCUCCAAGACAGACCUGUAGCAGCAUGGCCCAAAAAGUUCCUCUGCUGCCCCAGUCCCAUACCUGCCUGAGGUACGGGGGUUCAGGCUGAGUCGGCUGACCUGGAGUCAUCUGGAAGCCUUGUCAGAAAUGCAGAUUCUGCAGUGCUGUUCCCAGAGGAUGAGAUUCAGCAGAACUGGGUGUUGGAUAUUAUAUGAAGAGAUUUGCAAGUGUUAUUUUACGUAAUUCGCACUUUACAAAGGAGGAAACUGCAGCGCAGGUACCAAGGUUGCCCCAUCUCGGUCCAGGCCUGCUCCCGGCGAGCCACUCGCCCUUGACCACGCCUCCUCUCUCCUGAUUGGCUGUCAGAUUAAGCUCACUAAGACAAUAAUCAAAGACCUAUAAAACCGUGAACUUCUUGAGACAAUGAGGAUGCCUCUAACAGACUUGGGAAGAAAUCCUGCACAAAGAGCUGGGGAAAAAAGGGAAGAAAAGCACAUAGAAUACUCCUUCAAGGCAGGCAUUGGCAGACCUUCCACCGUGCACCAGGCUCUGUGCUAAGAUUCACCCUGGAGUAACCCUGCCUCUGGGGGUGAAGUUGCUAUAUCUGGCUGCGUUUUGGCCAGCCGACCCUCUAGGCAGCCCUUAAUUCUUGCUUCUCAAACUUACUUCCAAGGACAGAGAAAGAUGACCACUGCCCUCACCCCACUAAAGAAGCCCCAGCACUUAGCAAGCACUUAUGGCCCAGAGCAGACUGUCUCUACUUCAUUUCACUCUCCACACCCAGACUUGGACCACACUUGGAAAAGAACCAGCCAGUCCUGGAGGCUGCAUAUUGUGGAUAGCAGGACUCCACUCACAUCUCAAAGCUCCUCCCUGCCCAUUCCCAUGGUCCCUCCAGCCCUUGGGCAAUACUACCAAUAAGAAGGAGAAAUGAGCUGGAUUUCACUUCCUUUGGAGCAGGUGUGAAUAAACAGAAUUGUCCCAAACUUGGGCAGCAGAAGUGGGGAAAGAAGAAAGGCAACCGGCCAGGCGCGGUGGCUCACGCCUGUAAUCCCAGCAUUUGGGGAGGCCCAGGCGGAUCACCUGAGGUCAGGAGUUUGAGAACAACCUGGCCAACAUGGUGAAACCCAUCUCUACUAAAAAAAUACAAAAAUUAGCCAGGCAUGAUAGCUACUUGGGAGGCUGAGGCAGGAGAAUCUCUUGAACCCGAGAGGUGGAGUUUGCAGUGAGCUGAGAUCAUGCCACUGCACUCCAGCCUUGGUGACAGAGCGAGACUCCAUCUCAAAAAAAAAAAAAAAAAAAAAAAACCAGAAGAGAGCAACCAAUACUUAUGAAGCCUCUGAUAGUUACUCAAAUGCCACCAGUAAACCCACGAGACGCACAGGCUGGGAUUGGUAAGGCAACUUGCCCAAGGUCACCCAGCUAGAAAAGGCUAGAGGCGGGCGAGAGGGGAGCUCCAGAACCACCCCAAACACACUGCCUCCCCCACACCACUGCCUCCCCAACACUGCCUUCAAGAAAGAGAAAUCGAAGGACCUGGACAAUUUGCAAGCUGACUGCUCAGCUUCUGGACUCAUCCACCGCGUUUGUCAGAAGUCCCUGCAGAUGCCCGGCCACUAUGCCAGUACUCUCGUCUCGGGCUGCACUUGGAACUGGGUGGACAGCUGUAGAAGGACUACUAGUGCCUGGGCCCACCCCUUCUCCCCACCCCCAGUGCCUCACUUAACUGUCUGAGAUUCAGCCUAAGCACUGGGCUUUUAAAGUUCCCAGGUGACCGUUGCCCUCCGGGAUCCAUAUUCUCUUCAUCUGUAAGAUGGGGCUAAUGAUGUCUCCCAAACAGGGUGGUUGUAAGGAUGAAGUGUGAGGGGCCUAGGAAGGGAGGCCUGGAAAGAGGGAAGAGGACUGCUCAUCGCUGGGCUGAGGCUGCAGCCACCCUGUGCUAGGUGCUGUGCUACAGCCUGGGUCACUCUGCCAGGACCUAUAGGCUCCCUGCUUGGGGCAUGGUGCCCUGACCCUCGGCUCACGUCUGCCCAGAUCCUUACAGCUGAUGGAACCCUUUGCUCCAAGAGACGAGGUUGGCACACCGUGGUCUCAAUAAAUGUUUGUCGAGUAAACAGAUGAAGAUGUCCUUCGAUCUUCACAACAGUUUUGAGAAGCAAAAUGAAAAAGGACUCUCCCUUGACCCAAUAGAAAGGGAAGUUUGGACUCACCUCAAGGUGCUGUCACUAGCCAUGUGUUCCAGAGCAGCAACAUAACUUCUCAAAGCCUCUGUCACUUCAUUUGUAAAGCAGGACUUUGUCACUAUUGCUAGGUUAUAGGACUAUCCUGAAGAGCUGCUGAGACAACAUACGGGGGAAACAUUUCUAUAAAUUAUUUUUUGAUGAGGGAAUUGAGGUUUAUAGGGGUUAAGUGACUUGCCCACAGUCAAUCAGUAAAUUGUGAAGCCAAAACUUAAACUCGGGACCAGAGAGUUCCUGGGCGUGAGACAAACAAACGAACAAACAACAACAACAACAACAAAACCCCAAAACACUCAAAUAAUAUGUGGUUGCAGAGAAG